rfam:Brassica napus, WGS project CCCW01000000 data, contig: 2481
GUAAUAUAAGAUACGGUCUAUUAGUUUUAAAUUAAAAAAACUAAGAGACGUUUCUUAAAUAGGAGAUAUAAGAGAUGUCUCUUAGCUUUUUUAAUUAAAAGCUAAGAGACUGUAUCUUAUAUUAC